AUUGAACGCUGGCGGCAGGCCUAACACAUGCAAGUCGAGCGGAUGAAGGGAGCUUGCUCCUGGAUUCAGCGGCGGACGGGUGAGUAAUGCCUAGGAAUCUGCCUGGUAGUGGGGGAUAACGUCCGGAAACGGGCGCUAAUACCGCAUACGUCCUGAGGGAGAAAGUGGGGGAUCUUCGGACCUCACGCUAUCAGAUGAGCCUAGGUCGGAUUAGCUAGUUGGUGGGGUAAAGGCCUACCAAGGCGACGAUUCGUAACUGGUCUGAGAGGAUGAUCAGGCACACUGGAACUGAGACACGGUCCAGACUCCUACGGGAGGCAGCAGUGGGGAAUAUUGGACAAUGGGCGAGAGCCUGAUCCAGCCAUGCCGCGUGUGUGAAGAAGGUCUUCGGAUUGUAAAGCACUUUAAGUUGGGAGGAAGGGCAGUAAGUUAAUACCUUGCUGUUUUGACGUUACCAACAGAAUAAGCACCGGCUAACUUCGUG
rnacentral:rRNA from 1 species